UUUUUUUUUAAGUAAUUUAAUAAAGAAUUAUAAAAUUAGACAUGUUAUAAAAUAAUAUUAUUGAAAGAAAUGUAAAUAAGUUUUUAGUACUGAGGGGGAAAAUAUUGAAAAAUAUAAAAGAAAUAAAAAAAUUAUAAAGUAUUUAAUUAGUACCUUUAGCAUUAGGGUUUUUUAAAGAAAAUUAAAUAUUUAUAUUUCCCGAAAACUUUUGAGUUAUUAUAAUUUAAAUAUAAUUUAUUUUAUAAAGUUAUAUAAUGUUAUAAUAGAAAUGAAAUUUUUUUCAAAAUUGUUGAUAUCUGGUUGUUAUAAAAGGAUUUUAUGUCUUUCUAUAAAAUAAAUUAAUUUUUUUUUAAUAUAGGAAAAUAAAUUAGGGAUAAGCUUAAUUUAUAAUUUUAGAUUUUUUUUGUUAUUAGUAAAAUAAAGGAUUAGAAUUUUCUUAUUUUUGUUAUAAAAAUGUUUAAAAGAGAAAAAUAAUAAUUAAAUUAAUGAUAAUUAGUUAAAUUUAUAAACUAAAAAAAAUAUGAAAAAAUUAGUAUAAUUAAAUUAGAAAAAAAAAUAGAGUUUGAGGAAAAAUAUUUUAAAGUAAGUUAAGUUUUAGGAACUCGGCAAAAAAUUAAAUUGACUGUUUAUCAAAAACAUUUCAUUUUGAUUUAAUAAAAUGUAUUAUCUGCUCAAUGAUAUGUUUAAAUUGCUGUGGUAUUUUGACUAUACGAAGGUAUUGAAAUAAGGCUUUUAAUGAGUGCUAAGAGAAUGGUAGAACAAUUUUAAGCUGUCUUAAAUUUAAAAAUAAAAUUUAAUUUUUUUUUGUGAAGAAGCAAAAAUAUAUUUAAGGGACAAGAAGACCCUAUGAAUUUUUUCUUUAAGAAAAAUUAAAGAUAAUUUUUUUAAAGGUUAAUUGGGGCGAUUAAUAAAGAUUAAAAAUCUUUAUGUAAGAAUAAAAAGUUUGAUCCAGUAUUAAUGAUUAAAUGAACAAAAUACUCUAGGGAUAACAGCGUUAUAAUUUUGGAUAGCUCAUAUUGAUAAAAUUGUUUGCGACCUCGAUGUUGGAUUAGGGUUCUUGUUUAAUGGAGAAGUUAAAUAAAGAAGUUUGUUCAACUUUUUAACCCCUACAUGAUCUGAGUUCAGACCGGCGUGAGCCAGGUUGGUUUCUAUCUUUAUAAUUUAUUUCUUAAUCCAUUAAUUAGUACGAAAGGAAUUUUAAUGAUUAAUUAUUACACAGAGAUCAAAUUAAUUUAAAAAUAAAAUAGAUUUUGUAUGUGUUGGAUUAAGAAAUAAAUUAUAAAGAUAGAAACCAACCUGGCUCACGCCGGUCUGAACUCAGAUCAUGUAGGGGUUAAAAAGU
rnacentral:rRNA from 1 species